rnacentral:misc_RNA from 1 species
AAGAAUUGCCCCGUCUUCUCGAAGAUGGGUUCUAUUCCAAACCGUGUUUACAUACCUUUGUUGCUUUGGCGGGCCGCCGUUUCGGCGUUGGCUCCGGCUGACUGCGCCCGCCAGAGGACCAACCAAACUCGUCUUUGACCGGCAGUCUGAGUAAAAUAACAAAUAAGUUA